AUUGAACGCUGGCGGAAUGCUUUACACAUGCAAGUCGAGCGGCAGCACGGGGGCAACCCUGGUGGCGAGCGGCGAACGGGUGAGUAAUACAUCGGAACAUGCCCAGUCGUGGGGGAUCCACUUCGAAAGAAGUGCUAAUACCGCAUACGUCCUGAGGGGGAAAGCGGGGGAUCGCAAGACCUCGCGCGAUUGGAGUGGCCGAUGUCAGAUUAGCUAGUUGGUGGGGUAAAGGCCUACCAAGGCAACGAUCUGUAGCUGGUCUGAGAGGAUGAUCAGCCACACUGGGACUGAGACACGGCCCAGACUCCUACGGGAGGCAGCAGUGGGGAAUUUUGGACAAUGGGGGCAACCCUGAUCCAGCCAUUCCGCGUGAGUGAAGAAGGCCUUCGGGUUGUAAAGCUCUUUCGGCAGGAACGAAACGGUGAGCUCUAACAUAGCUUGCUAAUGACGGUACCUGAAGAAGAAGCACCGGCUAACUACGUG
rnacentral:rRNA from 1 species